rnacentral:rRNA from 1 species
UACGGAGGGGGCUAGCGUUGUUCGGAAUUACUGGGCGUAAAGCGCACGUAGGCGGCUUUGUAAGUUAGAGGUGAAAGCCCAGGGCUUAACCCUGGAAUUGCCUUUAAGACUGCAUCGCUAGAAUCGUGGAGAGGUGAGUGGAAUUCCGAGUGUAGAGGUGAAAUUCGUAGAUAUUCGGAAGAACACCAGUGGCGAAGGCGGCUCACUGGACCGCAACUGACGCUGAGGCGCGAAAGCUAGGGGAGCAAACAGG